GAAGCCCAGGUUGGCUGCCUACAAUCAGAGUCCACAUAUGUUCGGGGGAGGGACCCCAGAAGGCGGCUGACAGUAUUCCUUUAGCCAGAAAUCCCUUCAGGGAAGAGAAAGUAUUUUCCAGAAAAUAUUUCAAGCAGAAUAUACUUAUUUUCCAGUUUUGAAAACAACUAGAUUGCCCAUCUCCAUUUCUCUCUAUCAUCUACUGUAUUAUUCUAUGGACAACUGCCACCCUAAUAAGGUCAAGAAGGGAAGCCAGAAGUCAAGGCCACAGAAGACACAGGAAACAUCAUUUCCAAAGUGGGAGACAAAGCUGUUAACAGGAAAUUAUUUGUAAAGUCAAGAGCCAAGCAAAACAGAAAAAGGACAAGAAAUCUAUCACCUGUGGGUAUGAAUGGUUCUAGGGAAGUCUGUUGACAAUUGGAGGGUCUCAAAGGCGCUUUAUGGUACUUAUUUUAUGACCCUGAGUCUGGAGUCUGAUGAAUUAAAGAGGAAAUUCUGCUCUGGGCAACAUUUAAGAGAUAGUAUCUCCAGGCAGUAACUUUCGUAUUAACUCUCAUAAGAUUGAUGCCAUUCUGUCAUCUAAAGUGUGGACAAAAGUAGCAUUAAAG
rnacentral:lncRNA from 1 species